rnacentral:ncRNA from 1 species
AAAAGCCUGCAGGGGAGCCGUUUGGCUGAGAGUGAACAGAUGUCUGUUCUGACCCUUCGAACCUGUUAGUUAAUACUAGCGCAGGAAUGGUGGCUUUAUUGAUGG